AAUAGUCACAGAAGCCGAAUUUUGUGUUUCCCUCCUAAGGCUUGUUCCUCCGUCUCCUUGAGUUCCAAAGACAGCUCAAUGCAACAAAAGUUGGGUGAGCAGUUGAUUAACAUCUAAAGAACAACGUUGGAAACACAUACAAUAUUAGAGAAAUGUUGGAAAAGGCAAUGGCAACUCCUCCAACUGUUUCACCAAUAUGGUGUUCCCCAUUACUUGAGGGGGAACUAAAGCUUGUUGGAAGCCUUCAACCUGCUUCCCAGUGCUAUAAAGAGCACAUGAUUGGUUUUGCAAUUGUGUUGUACUCCCCCCCCU